rnacentral:lncRNA from 1 species
GGACGCUUAAAGGGGCGAUGCCGCUACCGAAGAGUUUGCGUGGGGCCCGCCGGGCGGCGCUAGCAGCCUCGUCUCCUGAGGGGACGUUUCUAUUUGGGCCGCCUCUGUGCGAGCUGCCUAGCCUAAGGACACCGAGUUUUCCUUAGAAGGUUGUGAGCGGCCCUGUUUCCAUCCCCGGGGAGGGAAGUGACGCUGAGAUGCACUUGGAUCCAAGAAACUCAGGGAGCGGGAGAAAAUGGGGAUUGGAGAGGAGAGGGGCACCCCGAGGUGUAUAUAUGUGUGUGUGUGUGUAUGUAUGUAUGUAUGUAUGUAUGUAUGUAUGUAUGUAUGUAUGUAUGUAUGUAUAUCGAGGGAUGGUCGAGGGAUGGCGAGGAGAGUGAUGAAGAACGGAGGGGGACGGUGAGGAACAACGAGGGACUGCUGUGAUGAUGCGAGAGAGAUGAAGGGCGCUACAACCAGGGAUGGAUGACCAUGAAGAAAGUGGUCUCUGGGAAAGAGGGCAGCGGACUGAGGGGCAGUAAGGGACAAAAUGCGUCUGAAGACAGGAAGGGGCAGGGAGUGUCUGGCUAAGGACAAUAAGGGAUGGAGGGGCAGUGAGGAGCAGUGUGAGGCACUGCGGGACUUAUAGAGAACCUCACUAAUUGAUCUAGGUAGUUAAGGGACGGUGUGGGAAAGGAAGGGACAGAAUGGAAAGGUGAGGGGCAGCGCAGAAAGGUGAAGGACAAAGGGGACUGGGCAGUGGGCCAUGCUGUGUGGGCAGGAUCAGGGAGGCCUCACUCCAGGCUCCUCUGUACUUGGCUUGGCCUCCAGCAAGGCUAGGCUGAUCCCGGGCACCUCCCCCAAACCUGCCCCCAGCCCUCUUGGCUUACCUGUCAAAGUGCUGUUCUCCAUGUCUUUUGGCCCCAGGGUGGCCGCUGAUGCCCAAGGACAAAACGCCAUCAAGUCUACAGGGAGGAGGGUUCGUGGGGCAGAAAUCCGGUGAUGCAACUUAGGUUUAUAGUUUAACCGUAAAAUAAAUAAUACAAUGAUAAACCAGAGUAGUUCAAGAAAAAAGGCAAACAGACAGAAGCCCUCCAGUUUGGACUAGUACAAAUUCCUCUUAAUGGCACUCCACAGAGUAGAGAGCGCAGACCUAUGGCUGACCUCUGUGGUCCGCACACAGAGCCCUUCCUGCACUGCAGCAAGAAUGCCUGAUAGUUAUAGGCUUAGCACCACCUAAUUGAGCCAGUUUAACAUAUGGAAUGAGGUGCUGGCCUCAUUAUCUGGUUAACUAUUAACUUUGUGCCCCACGAACCAAGUUGCUUCUUCCAGUAUUGACUUGAUUUUUUUUUUUAAUUGAACUCAAAGGCCUUAACUUUAAACUCAAGGCCUGAUGCACUGGAUUUU